GAUGGACCUGCGGUGCAUUAGCUAGUUGGUAAGGUAACGGCUUACCAAGGCGAUGAUGCAUAGCCGAGUUGAGAGACUGAUCGGCCACAAUGGAACUGAGACACGGUCCAUACUCCUACGGGAGGCAGCAGUAGGGAAUCUUCCACAAUGGGCGCAAGCCUGAUGGAGCAACACCGCGUGAGUGAAGAAGGGUUUCGGCUCGUAAAGCUCUGUUGUUGGAGAAGAACGUGCGUGAGAGCAACUGUUCACGCAGUGACGGUAUCCAACCAGAAAGUCACGGCUAACUACGUGCCAGCAGCCGCGGUAAUACGUAGGUGGCAAGCGUUAUCCGGAUUUAUUGGGCGUAAAGCGAGCGCAGGCGGUUGCUUAGGUCUGAUGUGAAAGCCUUCGGCUUAACCGAAGAAGUGCAUCGGAAACCGGGCGACUUGAGUGCAGAAGAGGACAGUGGAACUCCAUGUGUAGCGGUGGAAUGCGUAGAUAUAUGGAAGAACACCAGUGGCGAAGGCGGCUGUCUGGUCUGCAACUGACGCUGAGGCUCGAAAGCAUGGGUAGCGAACAGGAUUAGAUACCCUGGUAGUCCAUGCCGUAAACGAUGAGUGCUAGGUGUUGGAGGGUUUCCGCCCUUCA
rnacentral:rRNA from 1 species